rnacentral:rRNA from 1 species
GACGUAGGGCGCGAGCGUUGUCCGGAUUUAUUGGGCGUAAAGGGCUCGUAGGCGGCCAACUAAGUCCGACGUGAAAUCCCAAAGCUUAACUUUGGAACUGCGUCGGAUACUGGAUGGCUUGAAUUCGGGAGAGGGAUGCAGAAUUCCAGGUGUAGCGGUGAAAUGCGUAGAUAUCUGGAGGAAUACCGGUGGCGAAGGCGGCAUCCUGGACCGACAUUGACGCUGAUGAGCGAAAGCUAGGGGAGCAAACGGG